rnacentral:rRNA from 1 species
AUGAGUGAUGAUACAAGAUAAUUAAAUUACAAAUUCAAACAAUUUGGCGGUAAGAAAAGAACUCAGAGAAACCUAAGUAUUAAUUGGAUGAUCCACCAUCAUACAUUCUUAUUAUAUUUGUUACCUGUAUGUCUGUUUAGUCUAUCGUUAGAUCUUUAGACUAUUAAAUUUAUAAAUAUAAAUUCAGGUCCAUAUAGGGAUUGUUAAUAAGAUAACUCGGGUUGCAUUUAAAACUACUAGUAGCUUAAUCAAUAUUAGCUUAAUUCGGAUUUGAAAGUAAAUAUUUCUGUAAAUAUAUUGAAUUCCUCUUUUCUUAAGUACAAAUCCCGUACC